GCCCGGGUGGCGGAAUUGGCAGACGCAGCAGACUCAAAAUCUGCCGAUCGCAAGGUCUUGUGGGUUCGAUGCCCACCCCGGGCA
rfam:Beta vulgaris subsp. vulgaris contig109270.1, whole genome shotgun sequence.